AGAGUUUGAUCAUGGCUCAGAUUGAACGCUGGCGGCAUGCCUUACACAUGCAAGUCGAACGGCAGCAUGAUCUAGCUUGCUAGAUUGAUGGCGAGUGGCGAACGGGUGAGUAAUACAUCGGAACGUGCCCUGUAGUGGGGGAUAACUAGUCGAAAGAUUAGCUAAUACCGCAUACGACCUGAGGGUGAAAGUGGGGGACCGCAUGGCCUCAUGCUAUAGGAGCGGCCGAUGUCUGAUUAGCUAGUUGGUGAGGUAAAGGCUCACCAAGGCGACGAUCAGUAGCUGGUCUGAGAGGACGAUCAGCCACACUGGGACUGAGACACGGCCCAGACUCCUACGGGAGGCAGCAGUGGGGAAUUUUGGACAAUGGGGGCAACCCUGAUCCAGCAAUGCCGCGUGUGUGAAGAAGGCCUUCGGGUUGUAAAGCACUUUUGUCCGGAAAGAAAUCGCACUUACUAAUAUUAGGUGUGGAUGACGGUACCGGAAGAAUAAGGACCGGCUAACUACGUGCCAGCAGCCGCGGUAAU
rnacentral:rRNA from 1 species